rnacentral:lncRNA from 1 species
UGCCAUUGUCCCCAUUGACCCCAAUGACCCCAUUGACCCCAAUGUCCCCAUUGUCUGACAUUGAUCCCAGUGAUCCCAUUGACCCCAAUGUUCCCCAUU